UACGUAGGGGGCAAGCGUUGUCCGGAUUUAUUGGGCGUAAAGAGCGUGUAGGCGGCCAGGUAGGUCUGCUGUGAAAACUCGAGGCUUAACCUCGAGCUGUCGGCGGAAACCAUCUGGCUAGAGUCCGGAAGAGGAGAAUGGAAUUCCCGGUGUAGCGGUGAAAUCGUAGAUAUCUGGAGGAACACCGGUGGCGAAGGCGCAUCCUGGACCGGCAUUGACGCUGAGGAGCGAAAGCCAGGGGAGCAAACGGGG
rnacentral:rRNA from 1 species